rnacentral:rRNA from 1 species
CCUACGGGUGGCAGCAGUGGGGAAUAUUGCACAAUGGGGGAAACCCUGAUGCAGCAACGCCGCGUGAAGGAAGACGGUUUUCGGAUUGUAAACUUCUUUUCUUAGUGAAGAAGAAAGUGACGGUAGCUAAGGAAUAAGCAUCGGCUAACUACGUGCCAGCAGCCGCGGUAAUACGGAGGAUGCGAGCGUUAUCCGGAAUUACUGGGUGUAAAGGGAGCGCAGGCGGGACUGCAAGUUGGAUGUGAAAUACCGCAGCUUAACUGCGGAGCUGCAUCCAAAACUGUAGUUCUUGAGUGGAGUAGAGGCAAGCGGAAUUCCGAGUGUAGCGGUGAAAUGCGUAGAUAUUCGGAGGAACACCAGUGGCGAAGGCGGCUUGCUGGGCUCUAACUGACGCUGAGGCUCGAAAGUGUGGGGAGCAAACAGGAUUAGAUACCCUAGUAGUC